ACGGAAGGCAGCAGUGGGGAAUAUUGCACAAUGGGCGAAAGCCUGAUGCAGCGACGCCGCGUGAAGGAUGAAGUAUUUCGGUAUGUAAACUUCUAUCAGCAGGGAAGAAAAUGACGGUACCUGACUAAGAAGCCCCGGCUAACUACGUGCCAGCAGCCGCGGUAAUACGUAGGGGGCAAGCGUUAUCCGGAUUUACUGGGUGUAAAGGGAGCGUAGACGGUAUGGCAAGUCUGAAGUGAAAGCCCGGGGCUCAACCCCGGGACUGCUUUGGAAACUGUCGAACUAGAGUGUCGUAGAGGCAAGUGGAAUUCCUAGUGUAGCGGUGAAAUGCGUAGAUAUUAGGAGGAACACCAGUGGCGAAGGCGGCUUGCUGGACGAUGACUGACGUUGAGGCUCGAAAGCGUGGGGAGCAAACAGGAUUAGAUACCCUGGUA
rnacentral:rRNA from 1 species